rnacentral:rRNA from 1 species
GUGGGGAAUAUUCCGCAAUGGACGAAAGUCUGACGGAGCAACGCCGCGUGAGUGAUGAAGGUUUUCGGACUGUAAAGCUCUGUUGUUUAGGACGAAAGUGCCUGUUGCGAACAGUUACAGGUAUUGACGGUACUAAACGAGGAAGCCACGGCUAACUACGUGCCAGCAGCCGCGGUAAUACGUAGGUGGCAAGCGUUGUCCGGAAUUAUUGGGCGUAAAGAGCAUGUAGGCGGAGAUUUAAGUCUGUUGUGAAAAUGCGGGGCUCAACCCCGUAUUGCGAUGGAAACUGAAUUUCUUGAGUGCAGGAGAGGAAAGGGGAAUUCCCAGUGUAGCGGUGAAAUGCGUAGAUAUUGGGAGGAACACCAGUGGCGAAGGCGGUUUACUGGACGACAACUGACGCUGAUACACGAAAGCGUGGGGAGCAAACAGGAUUAGAAACCCGUGUAGUCC